ACUGCAAUGUCUAUGUCGGAACUCUCGACACUUUUAUCGAAGAGAGGGAAGCUUUAACACAGACAGUGCCUUUCAACGGUGGGAACUUCGAACAUGGAUCUGCUCCUGAGUUAUGGCAAAUAGACCUGAGGUCGCAGUUUCCAACUCUCUUUGUUCCUUACAAAGAGACUCGAGUCCCGGUUCCUCAUUCUGAGACUGUUGACAAGUGCACUGGUAAGACUCUUUCUUAUGUCUUUAGUGAUUGUUAGGAUGAUGCUGAAGAGGGCAUUUUUGAUUAAUAGGUUGCGGAUCAAAAGACUGACGAACGAAUCCAAGGGACGUGACAAUGUAAGUGACGUACUGAAGAUACCCUCCUGGUCCAGCAUGAGUGUGGAUCCCACUUAUUGCAACGUUCUUCUCUGUGUAAAGAUCACCAUAUCUACAAAAUGAAAUUAUUACAACAUUCUUGUAGAUUAGUUCAAAAUAACACUGACACUGUGCUUAUUGGUCGUUACCUUGCCUUGAGUCGCUCAAGAACUUUGAUGGUAACGAUCUGAGACGCCAUACACGCGUCAAGAUUCACAAACGCGACGCGGUUACCUUGAGGCUCAGCGACGAUGAAGGCACGAGCUCGCAGACGGAAAUGGAUCCCUGAGGCGAUUUGCUCGGAGUUAGCGUAUCCCAUCAUGUUGACGUCAGCGGCUGGACCGGUGAUGUCAUAGCUUCCCACGCCGAUUAAGUACUCGGAAGACGAAAGAACGGCUCUAGUUAAGAGAAGAGACAGUAGAAACUGAAACGACAAUGGAACUGAGACAGCCAUGUUUUGGAGAGAGGAGGAAGAAGGGAGAGUAGUGAUAGAUCUUUAAGAGGAGAAAGAUUUCACACGAGAAGUGAUUGUGAGAGAGAAUACGCCAUGAAAGAUUGAAACUUUGCAAAAGCGUGAGUGGGAGAGAGAGAGAAAAGGUGAAUAAAAUUUUCAAAUGUGGAAGCGAGUGGAUGUCGGUAGUGAAACUUCACACUCUGUCAAACCUUAUUUGUUUCUAUUUAUACUAAUCUUGUAUAUUAUGGUUUCAUAUUAGUUUAAAUAGAUCGUGUUUAUUACUGACUAAUUAUCUAUGGUUUGAUGAUGAUGAUAUUAGUUUUUUUACGCGUUUAACGCAUACAUCCUCGAAAUGAGGUUCUUGACAAUAGAUUAAUUUUAUUUUAAUGUUAUUUGAAAAUCAAGCCAAGCCACUUAAAAUCUGGCACAACAUGGUUAGCGAGAUUUCCUCGGAGAACCCGUUUCUUGUUUCUGUCCACUUUUUCAAUUAUUCUCCUAAAUCUAUUAAAAUCUCCACCAAUGACCUUGCUCUAAAAUGCAUCCAAAAUACUACAUAACUAUCACAUUAAAUUUUGUACUAUGGAAAAAGGAGAUGAACAUAGUUACUGCAGAGGUUACAAAUACUAGUAUUGGUUUUUAUAAAUUGUUUGAAUUGAAUAAUAACAUGUUUUAGUUGUUGAUACGCACCCAUCACCCAUGUGAUUCCUCUUGGAGCUGCAUACAUCCAUGUGAACGUGUUAAAACUCUUUGCUUGUCUUGGUAAUAAACUCUUAAAGACGUUCAGUCAUUGACCAUACAUAAGUGGCAAGUGCAAUAAUCAUUCUCUGAUACACGUACUUGCAAAAUCAGAGGUGGGUGAAAUCCUCAACCGUUUCACACGGAAACAAACUUAAUGACCCGAUCUUAUCCGGAUCCGACCAGACUCAACCCGACAAGUAAAUCUCUUCCGUCCCUGUUUCGUGUAAUGAUCACGAGAAAGAAAGUAACAAAAAAAUAAUAGGAUCGGAAUUGACUUUGGCGUUUCCUUACUCUCUAAGAAAAAAAAAAUCUCUUCUUUCUUCUCUUCUAUCGGUUUCUGAUAAGCACAAAGAGAGAGACUCGUGAUCAAUGGAGAAGCCUCUGCUUUCAGGUAAUUCAAUUCAAUAAAGAACCAAACUUUCUCCUCCUCUGUUUUUUAAAUUAUCUCAUCAUUUAUUAUUGGAUCAGAUAAUAAAACUAAGGAACCAGAGAGAUGGGAUUCGUACCAAUACCUUCAGAGAAACAUCUCCUCUGCUCGUAACAACGUCUCUUUCACCGGAGCUGGCGUCACCGUCGAGGAAGUCCGUUCCGCUUCCGCUGUUUCCGAUCCUCCGCCUCUCUACCCUCCCGUUCUAACCACCCCCGUCUCGUUGCCCACUCGUAAGUCUCUCCGACUUUGACCCUUAAAAGUCUGAAAGUUUCAUCCUUUUUGUCGGCUCUGUUUCACAGCGGAAGCUAUUGGCUACCCGAGUGCGUCUGGAGCAGGUCAUGAACUGCAAAGGUACAAAGGUUCCUACUUUUAGUCUCAUUGCUCUUGUUAGGAUUCAAAGAUUGAAGCUUUUACAUUUAUCUCAGGCAGGUGCUUGAUGAGAUUGAGAUAAGAGAGCUGCUGAUUGAUCACAUCGGCCACCGUUGCUGUUGGGGAAGCCGUCCAGCUCGCACGUGGAGGAUCCGUGCGGUCGAAGACUGCAAUGUCUAUGUCGGAACUCUCGACACUUUUAUCGAAGAGAGGGAAGCUUUAACACAGACAGUGCCUUUCAACGGUGGGAACUUCGAACAUGGAUCUGCUCCUGAGUUAUGGCAAAUAGACCUGAGGUCGCAGUUUCCAACUCUCUUUGUUCCUUACAAAGAGACUCGAGUCCCGGUUCCUCAUUCUGAGACUGUUGACAAGUGCACUGGU
rnacentral:lncRNA from 1 species